CAGCAGCCGCGGUAAUACGAAGGGGGCUAGCGUUACUCGGAAUUACUGGGCGUAAAGGGCGCGUAGGCGGCACGAUUAGUCAGGCGUGAAAUUCCUGGGCUCAACCUGGGGACUGCGCUUGAUACGGUCGAGCUAGAGUACGGUAGAGGGGGAUGGAAUUCCGCGUGUAGCAGUGAAAUGCGUAGAUAUGCGGAGGAACACCGAUGGCGAAGGCAAUCCCCUGGACCUGUACUGACGCUCAUGCACGAAAGCGUGGGGAGCAAACAGGAUUAGAUACCCCAGUAGUCCCUGUCUCUUAUAC
rnacentral:rRNA from 1 species